AUUUUGUGUUUUGUUCUUUCUGCAGCAGGGAGAGUUAAGUCUUGUGGGCUGCAUAUCUAAAUUCCCAGAGUGAUUUUCAUAGAUUUCCCUUCCUAUUUCCUGACGUGUUUGGGAUCGCUGGUGUCAGCAGGGGG